CGAGUAUCGAUCGGCCAAGGUUCCCGCGGGCUUCGGUCCGUAGGCGAAGAUGGGAAUUCAGUGCGCCGGCAACGGCAAAGCUGAAGCUGCCCCCGCAACUGUAAGCGGCGAGUUCCUGCUGCUCCUCGGUCACUGAUGCCUCGCAUCGGGAAGGCCAGGCAGGGAUCGUGACCCGCGAGCCAGGAGACCUGCCUCGGCGCGACGACAACCC
rnacentral:ncRNA from 1 species